AAACGAAAAUGGAGAAGGAAAAAGGAGGGAGAGAGAACGAUGGUGAAGAAGAGUUUGAAGAAAUUUGUUUUAAAAGCAGCGGUACGGAGUUAUGGAUUCAUAGUUUGGUUGUAUCUGAGUUUCAAAGAGAGAAUGGACCAACUUCUACCAACCAUAGUCGUUAAGAAAUUGCAUAUCAUCUGUAGUUACAUUAUGAAUAAUGUAUCUAGAAGAAAUUUAAGAAUAAGAAUGAUGCUAAAAGUUAGUGUAAAAGUCUAGAAGAUUUUCGCCUAUAGACUUUGCACCUAGUGGGGUCCAUGGUCGGCGUGGUCCGUUCUUGAACUAAUAGAUGUUCUGGGACGGGUCGUGUCAUUCAUGAAUUAAUGUUUGAAUUAAUGUUUAGGUUUACCCUUACAAUUUAAAACUUUAUUGUGUCUUACAAAAAUAAUCAAACCAAAAACUCCCAAUGCCCAAGAUUCGCAAGGCCACACGAUUGCGACCGCAGUCCGCAUUCACAAGGCCCAUACGCACAAGCCCAGAACCCGCCAGCACCCAGCCCCAAAUUGUAGCAAUUUCCUUCUCUCUCAUGUAUUAAUGAGACUCAUAACUUUUUGUUUGAUUGUUUUACACUUUGUUUUAGUACAACAUGUGGGGGUGGGGGACUGAACUCACAACUUUAUGGUUGGAGCCAAUUACCGCUGAGCUAUGCUCGCUUUUGCUUGUUU